CAGAAUCACAGUGCUGAGGUACAUUUAUGAUCAGAAUCACAGUGCUGAGGUACAUUUAUGAUUAGAAUCACAGUGCUGAGGUACAUUUAUGAUUAGAAUCACAGUGCUGAGGUACAUUUAUGAUUAGAAUCACAGUGCUGGGUACAUUUAUGAUUAAAAUCACAGUGCUGAGGUAAAUGUGUAAUUAGAAUCACAGUGCUGAGGUACAUUUAUGAUUAGAAUCACAGUGCUGAGGUACAUUUAUGAUUAGAAUCACAGUGCUGAGGUACAUUUAUGAUUAGAAUCACAGUGCUGAGGUAAAUUUAUGAUCAGAAUCACAGUGCUGAGGUACAUUUAUGAUCAGAAUCACAGUGCUGAGGUACAUUUAUGAUUAGAAUCACAGUGCUGAGGUAAAUGUUUGAUUAGAAUCACAGUGCUGAGGUACUUUUAUGAUUAAAAUCACAGUGCUGAGGUAAAUUAGUAUAGCGCUACUGAGGUAAAUGUAUUAUUAAAAUCGUAGUGUUGAGCUAAAUGUAUGAUUAAAAUAGCACUGCUGAAGUAAAGUGUUGUCAAACAUAGGUGUUCUUAACUCCCUAUGUUUCACUUACUUAAGUAAAUACCUAUUAUUCCAUGCAGUGGCACUAAUCAAAUGAAUUAUGGCAAACCUGGGGUAAAGAAUAGAAGUUGUGAAAUUCAAUUUAUUAGUAAAACUGACACAAAUAAAUCCAUAAUUCCAGUGCUUUACUUAUUUAGGAGCAUUUCAUCUUCUUCAGUAACACAGAUGCCAUAAAGUAUCAUAGAGAAUUGUCUUGUUAUAUAUAUUGAGUAUUGCAGGAUCACAAUAUUGUGAUACCAUUACGGUGAUAAUUUUGUACUGUGAUAUCAUCAUAUUAUGAGAUGCUCUGCAGAAGGCUGAACUUUUCCAGCUCGGUACGGCAAACAGCAGAUAGAAGAGAUAAACUCUCACCCAGCAGUCAAAUCUCUACACCGAGACAUGACAUCACCCACAGUAGGCCCCUAGUUCACACAGAAUACAAUGGACACACACACACACACUCUUACGGGAACCCACCGCUUAUCCCUGUGAACACUCACUUUCUCUUUCAGUCCGGUCCCACCCUCUCACUCUACAGCUGAAUUUCUUUCAUUCUACUGUUUCCAUUCUUCCUUCCUCACUCUCUCAGACAAUCGCCUCUCUU